CAUUGCGCUAACUGUAAGUCGCUCUGGAUAAGAGCGUCUGCUAAAUUACUAAAA
rfam:Salmo salar isolate Sally breed double haploid chromosome ssa09, whole genome shotgun sequence.